rnacentral:rRNA from 1 species
CAGUCGCCGCGGUAAAACGGAGGGUGCAAGCGUUAAUCGGAAUUACUGGGCGUAAAGCGCACGCAGGCGGUUUGUUAAGUCAGAUGUGAAAUCCCCGAGCUUAACUUGGGAACUGCAUUUGAAACUGGCAAGCUAGAGUCUUGUAGAGGGGGGUAGAAUUCCAGGUGUAGCGGUGAAAUGCGUAGAGAUCUGGAGGAAUACCGGUGGCGAAGGCGGCCCCCUGGACAAAGACUGACGCUCAGGUGCGAAAGCGUGGGGAGCAAACAGGAUUAGAUACCCGGGUAGUCCCUGUCUCUUAUAC